CCUACGGGUGGCAGCAGUGAGGAAUAUUGGUCAAUGGACGAGAGUCUGAACCAGCCAAGUAGCGUGAAGGAUGACUGCCCUAUGGGUUGUAAACUUCUUUUAUAUGGGAAUAAAACGUUCCACGUGUGGGAUUUUGUAUGUACCAUAUGAAUAAGGAUCGACUAACUCCGUGCCAGCAGCCGCGGUAAUACGGAGGAUCCGAGCGUUAUCCGGAUUUAUUGGGUUUAAAGGGAGCGUAGGUGGAUUGUUAAGUCAGUUGUGAAAGUUUGCGGCUCAACCGUAAAAUUGCAGUUGAAACUGGCAGUCUUGAGUACAGUAGAGGUGGGCGGAAGUCGUGGUGUAGCGGUGAAAUGCUUAGAUAUCACGAAGAACUCCGAUUGCGAAGGCAGUUCACUGGACUGCAACUGACACUGAGGCUCGAAAGUGUGGGUAUCAAACAGGAUUAGAUACCCUUGUAGUC
rnacentral:rRNA from 1 species